UGCUCUGUAGCGAUCUGUGGGCUGCCCUGC
rnacentral:piRNA from 1 species